GCUGGGGUGGGUGAGCGGCUAAUACCACCAGUCUGUAAAACUGGCGCCCGGAAGGGCUACGCAGGUUCGAAUCCUGCCCCCAGCACCA
rnacentral:tRNA from 1 species